rnacentral:rRNA from 1 species
AGCGAACGCUGGCGGCAGGCCUAACACAUGCAAGUCGAACGAACUCUUCGGAGUUAGUGGCGGACGGGUGAGUAACACGUGGGAACGUGCAUUUUGGUUCGGAAUAACUCAGGGAAACUUGUGCUAAUACCGAAUGUGCUCUUCGGGGGAAAGAUUUAUCGCCAUUAGAGCGGCCCGCGUCUGAUUAGCUAGUUGGUGAGGUAACGGCUCACCAAGGCGACGAUCAGUAGCUGGUCUGAGAGGAUGACCAGCCACACUGGGACUGAGACACGGCCCAGACUCCUACGGGAGGCAGCAGUGGGGAAUCUUGCGCAAUGGGCGAAAGCCUGACGCAGCCAUGCCGCGUGAAUGAUGAAGGUCUUAGGAUUGUAAAAUUCUUUCACCGGGGACGAUAAUGACGGUACCCGGAGAAGAAGCCCCGGCUAACUUCGUG